rnacentral:tRNA from 1 species
GGAGGGGAGUCGAGUCGGGCUCAUAACCCGAAGGUCGCAGGUUCAAAUCCUGCCCCCGCUA